UUGUGGGGCACCAGCCCGGGAUUGGCUGGUGAUGGAACCUUUGGGUUUGGAGGUCUUAAAUCUGGAAGCAAUCGACAAUCAAUAGGAAUAACUGAAAACCUAAACUUUCCCGAAAUGGAUGAGAGAAGAAAAAGUAGCUUUAUUCCACUGUCAGCAUUUUAGAAAUCUUGCUUCUUUUGGCAAGCGACCUCGGGAAAAGGAAAGGAACAUCUGAGGCUUUUGGUUUUAACAGAUACCUUUGAGAGGCUGGUUCUUGGGGCAACUCUUGAAUUCUCUUGAGACCCUUCCCCAGCAAAAACAGAAAGAAGAUGCGGAAAACAAUAUGCGGAAGAUGCGGAAAACAAUAUGAUGGUUGCCGGGUGAAGGUGUUGUGGGACUGGCAAAAUAAGGACCUGGGAUUAAAAGCAACUUCCGAUUAUGAGAAAGUGCAUUCUCCGCAUUGCGUAGCAUAAGACAGUCGAGACUGUUCCAGAAGGUAUAGGAGGCUUGAAGCUGCAGCUGUGGAUGGAGAGAGCCGGGCUAGGACCUUCCUUUCCAGGUUGCACAGGAGUAGAGUCGGCUGCAGGGAAGAGCACAGCUUCGGUUCGGUCCCUCGGCUGGUGCGGAUGUGUGAAGGGGACAUCAACAUGUGGGACGUGACCUGCGGAACUCUUGCUGUAAUAUUACGUUAAAUUUCACCUUUGGGGAAGAGGUAAUGAAGGGCAAGGAAAAGCUUUGAACUCCUUUACAUCAAUCCUGAACACACAGGAAUGGAAGUUACAACCGGUCAUAAUGACAUGCUAAAAGGGUUGGCCUUUGGAAAAAAAGAGAAGGAAAAAAAAAAAAAAACCUGGAUUAGUUUAUCCUGGGAAUGAAAAGCUGAAAGGAGAUGUGUUGUUCCGUGAUACAAAAAUGAGACUGUAGGGAUCUGCUGAUAUUUUUAAGCAUCAUCACACACACAAAGAGAGGAGGAGGAAUGGUAACACAGUUGAGUUUACAUGCACAGAGGCGAAUUGUAAACACUUAACUUGAGAUGUUCUCCUCUCUCUUGAAACAUCGCAUAUCCCUGAAAGUUGAGGGACUAGCUUAAUGGGGUCUUGUUUAAAAGCAAAGGUGUAUGGGCUGAGUCAUUUCUUUGUAGAUGGUGACAGUUUGUUAGAGCUAGAAGGACCUGAGACAUAGUUUCCCGCGUGGUGUCAAGCCCCUGGUUUCACAGAGUAGGGUGCUGAGGUCCCACACCGGCCUGGGGGCCCUCUGCCAUGUGAACCCCCUUCAGUCCUAAGACUCCUCAGUUGGUCAUCACUCACUUAGGCCCCAAAACUAUUGCUUCCUCUCACUCCAAGGAGGGGCAGUCAGGGAGCCCUUGGAAUCACCUUUGGACGCCAGGUGAGUCUAAGGGCCCUAACUUCCGGCUUCAAGCCCAGGACUUUGUCCUUUUCAUGGCAUGUCUCUUUCCUAGCUCUGGUCUCUGGAUCUUACUAAAAGGGAAAGAUACAGUAUCCUUUUAACUGGCUUAGACAAAAAUGAGACAAAACCACCAUCGUAUGUCGGCUAAUUGAAUUUAAAUAAAAAUUUUUAAAAAACCACCAUCAUAAAA